rnacentral:lncRNA from 1 species
CAGGUGGUGACUGUCUUUUCCCUAGUUUGUCAUUCUUAUGGAUGAUUUGAAACUUUCUCUUUUGGAUACAACUUCUGGGAGGCGCUUCUCCAUCUCUUCAUGGGGGUGGUGGUCUCGGGGCCUCUUCCGAGGGUACCGAGCCCACUGGCGUGCCUCAGGGCGGUGGAGCAGUCUCCUGGUGUUGGUGGUGCCUCCAGGAGUAAACCUGGUCUGUGGAAGGCUUGUUUGUCUGGAGCGGCUAGGCAAAAGUGGAGGAAGGCUAGAGGGCAGAUUGCUGGUACCAGGGGUAUUUUGCUACUGGGUGGCUCCUCUCAACUAGCUACUUUGUCUGGAUCCCCUGCUGUUACUUUAAGACAUCAGGGGUUCCAGAUCUGUGGUACCUAUUCCAUCACUUGAGGAGGCAGGACCUUCGAAGGAACCUCGGGGCUUACAACC